rnacentral:rRNA from 1 species
AACGUAGGGGGCGAGCGUUAUCCGGAUUUACUGGGCGUAAAGCGCAUGUAGGCGGUUGGGCAAGUUGGACGUGAAAGCUCCCGGCUUAACUGGGAGAGGUCGUUUGAAACUACCCGACUGGAGAUUGGGAGAGGAGAGUGGAAUUCCCGGUGUAGUGGUGGAAUGCGUAGAGAUCGGGAGGAACACCAGUGGCGAAAGCGGCUCUCUGGCCCAAGCCUGACGCUGAGAUGCGAAAGCGUGGGGAGCAAACGGG